GACGAACGCUGGCGGCGUGCUUAACACAUGCAAGUCGAACGAUGAAGCCCUUCGGGGUGGAUUAGUGGCGAACGGGUGAGUAACACGUGGGCAAUCUGCCCUUCACUCUGGGACAAGCCCUGGAAACGGGGUCUAAUACCGGAUAACACUCUGUCCCUCAUGGGGCGGGGUUGAAAGCUCCGGCGGUGAAGGAUGAGCCCGCGGCCUAUCAGCUUGUUGGUGGGGUAAUGGCCUACCAAGGCGACGACGGGUAGCCGGCCUGAGAGGGCGACCGGCCACACUGGGACUGAGACACGGCCCAGACUCCUACGGGAGGCAGCAGUGGGGAAUAUUGCACAAUGGGCGAAAGCCUGAUGCAGCGACGCCGCGUGAGGGAUGACGGCCUUCGGGUUGUAAACCUCUUUCAGCAGGGAAGAAGCGCAAGUGACGGUACCUGCAGAAGAAGCACCGGCUAACUACGUGCCAGCAGCCGCGGUAAUACGUAGGGUGCGAGCGUUGUCCGGAAUUAUUGGGCGUAAAGAGCUCGUAGGCGGCUUGUCACGUCGGAUGUGAAAGCUCGGGGCUUAACCCCGAGUCUGCAUUCGAUACGGGCUAGCUAGA
rnacentral:rRNA from 3 species